UGUCCCAGGCUGAAAGAAACAUUAAUAACUUUCAUGGUAAGGGCAGAGAUUCCACCAGAGAAUUUAAUGUGACAAAUUGACUGUGUCAGCAGACCAAGUCUGUAUCAAUGGAACACAUGAAAACCAUCACAGUGGCCUUUGUGCAGGCUGU